rnacentral:rRNA from 1 species
UGGGGAAUCUUGCGCAAUGGGCGAAAGCCUGACGCAGCGACGCCGCGUGGGGGAGGAAGCUCUUCGGAGUGUAAACCCCUGUCAGGAGGGAAGAAUGGGCACCCGAGGAAAUGCGGGUGUUUUGACGGUACCUCCAAAGGAAGCACCGGCUAACUCUGUGCCAGCAGCCGCGGUAAUACAGAGGGUGCGAGCGUUGUUCGGAAUUACUGGGCGUAAAGCGCGCGCAGGCGGUCCUUUAAGUCUACCCGUGAAAUGCCGGAGCUCAACUCCGUGCACGCCGGGGGAUACUGGAGGACUGGAGACGAGUAGAGGCAAGCGGAAUUCCGGGUGUAGCGGUGGAAUGCGUAGAUAUCCGGAAGAACACCGGAGGCGAAGGCGGCUUGCUGGGCUUGGUCUGACGCUGAGGCGCGAAAGCGUGGGGAGCGAACAGGGAUUAGAUACCCUGGUAGUCACGCCGUAAAACGAUGGGCACUAGACGCGGGUGGGAUCGACCCCUUCCGUGUGCAGCUAACGCCGCUAAGUGCCCCGCCUGGGGAGUACGGCCGCAAGGCUGAAACUAAAUGAAUUGACGGGGUCAUAGCUGUUUCCUG